rnacentral:lncRNA from 1 species
AGAAAGAGAAGCAGCCCAGAUGAGAGAAAAGGUGCUUUAACUUUGAUUGCUGCAGAUUUUCUUGGCGUUUAAGUGCUGAUGAAGCAGUCAAAACUGAAGAUCAGCUUUUGAUCAUGAAGAGGAGAUUAGGUCACAGAUGUUCAAUAAGGAAAGACCAUGUGAAGACACAAGAAGAUGGUCAUCUGCAAGCCAAGAGAAAUGUCUCAAAAGGAACUGGCCCUGCUGACAUCUUGACCUUGAAUUUCCAGCCUCAGGUUCUUGGAUGCUUGAUGGAAUUAAGGAUUUGAGAACAUGAGAACAAACAGGAAUAUGCAGGAAAUCUUGAGGACACAGGAGAUGAAGUCAACCUGUGGCCAAGGGAGAGGGAGGGACAUGAGAAGCUUUGUGAAAGAUGUCAGCGCAAACCUCAGGUUGUCCUACUUGCUAGCCAUUCAUUAUAGCAAUGCCCCUAUUUCAAACAUGUCUAGAAGAACAGCAUUAGUGGGGAGGAGCCAAGAUGGCCGAAUAGGAACAGCUCCAGUCUACAGCUCCCAGCGUGAGCGAGGCAGAAGACAGGUGAUUUCUGCAUUUCCAUCUGAGGUACCGGGUUCAUCUCACUAGGGAGUGCCAGACAGUGGGCGCAGGCCAGUGGGUGCACGCACCAGGCGCGAGCCGAAGCAGGGCAAGGCAUUGCCUCACUUGGGAAGCGCAAGGGGUCAGGGAGUUCCCUUUCCGAGUCAAAGAAAGGGGUGACGGACGCACCUGGAAAAUCGGGUCACUCCCACCCGAAUAUUGUGCUUUUUGGACCGGCUUAAAAAACGGCCCACCACGAGAUUAUAUCCCGCACCUGGCUCGGAGGGUCCUACGCCCACGGAGUCUCGCUGAUUGCUAGCACAGCAGUCUGAGAUCAAAUUGCAAGGCGGCAGCUAGGCUGGGGGAGGGGCGCCCGCCAUUGCCCAGGCUUGCUUAGGUAAACAAAGCAGCAGGGAAGCUGGAACUGGGUGGAGCCCACCACAGCUCAAGGAGGCCUGCCUGCCUCUGUAGGCUCCGCCUCUGGGGGCAGGGCACAGACAAACAAAAAGACAGGAGUAACCUCUGCAGCCUUAAAUGUCCCUGUCUGACAGCUUUGAAGAGAGCAGUGGUUCUCCCAGCACGCAGCUGGAGAUCUGAGAACGGGCAGACUGCCUCCUCAAGUGGGUCCCUGACCCCUGACCCCCGA